rnacentral:lncRNA from 1 species
GUUUUGUUUUCUUCAAGGAUGGCUUAAACCACCACCCAUGUUUUUAGUGAGUAGGGAGUUUUAGUUAUGUGUAAUAUUUUUAACCAAGAAUGAAAUUGUUACUGAAUUUACCUGAAACUCCAGGCAUAGUGGCACAAUCUUGUUUGUAAUCAUGAGAGGUGGAGGCAAGACGAUCACAAGUUCAAGUUUAUCCCCAGCUAUAUAGGGAGUUCAAGGCCAGCCUGGGCUACGUGAACCCUUGUCUCAAAGCAACAACACAAAGUUUACCUGGGGAAAAAAAAACCAAAACUGUGAUUUUAUUUGGCUUACUUUAUUCUUUACUUCCACACUUAGGUAUAUAAUUACUCACUUCACUGGCUUAGAAGUUGCCUCCAUGACCGUGUUACUUGUUUGUUUAUCCUGCAGUACUCAAAGAGUGUUUUGACACUGGGAUUCUCGUUGUACAAAAGUAGUAUCUGUGUGUGUGUGUGUGUGUGUGUGUGUGUGUGUGUGUGUGUGUGUGUGUGUGUGUUUUGUAUUGUAUCAUUUCCUAAAGUCCAUUUUAGUAGAAGGUCAGAAGAGGAAUAAGUCUCUGUUUAGCAGGUAAACAAUUAGAAUCAGUUUUACAUUUGCCACUAAAAGCUUUGUAACUGCUCAUAUCAAGCAUGCAGCUAGGUCUCCAUGUCAGUGGAAGGGACUCCACAUUGACCAAGUAUUUAACAGAACCUUUACAUCGGUUUUGUUGUUAGGUAUUUAACUUUGAGGAGUUUUAUGCUAGAUUAAGAGAUCUUUAGAUCCCACUACUUAUUCUAGCAACACUUCUGAAGUGGUUCUGAGGGUUCUUUCUGGAUCUUGGCUAGUCAAGCUUUAGAUUUCAUUUAACUGGGACCACAUGCUCAUCACCCCUCUGGUGCAAAUUAGAAAGUUCAUGUUAAUUUAAAUUAACUUCAAUGUCUGCCUGGGUUUUUACCAGGCUGUGAACCAGUGAGUGCCUUGUUAAUGUAGAAUGAUUUUCCCCAUUGUAUGUUAGCUGUUUCUGAAAGGGUCUCAGAGACUGGGGUUUGAAGUGACUUUUGCAAAGCUGCUGAGUUGACAGUACAGCAUUAGGAAGUCUUUGGUCUGCCAUGUUCCUUCCGCUUUUCCUGCUUUCUCUUCAUUGACUGAUGUUGGCCUCUUGUGAGAAAACUAACAUAGUCCCCUUCACACACUCUGUUUUUCAUUCCAGAUUCAGGAGUAUCCCCUGUCCCGCCUUAGCUAUAUGAUCCAAUGCCUGUUUUUAGGGAGAACCACUUCUUUGUAAUACUAAAAAUCUUACCACUUAUUUUAUGUCUUCUCAUCAGUUUACUGGAGUGAACCUCAGGGUAUCAUCAGUUCAGAAUUCCAAAUAACCCUUUCUCUCCACACCCAAACCCCCAGCUGGUGAUCCCUGGGCCAGAUUGUUUGAUAUUCAGGUGUCUUCAAUUUUAGUUAUAAUAUCAAUUAAUGUAAAUCCAAAUGCUAAUUUUUGUGGUGCAAGAAGUUCCUUUUGUAAAUUCAGGGUAUGGAUAAGCUAAUAAUGAUAUCCAGUUUUGGUGGCUUUGAGUGUAUUGUUUGUUUUUAAAUAAAAUGUACAAAAUAGUUAAUGUGCUUAUAGGUGUG